rnacentral:rRNA from 1 species
CGCGAAUGCCUCAGCUACGGCGAGUGAAGCGGCAAGAGCUCAAAUUUGAAAGCUGGCUCCUUCGGGGUCCGCAUUGUAAUUUGCAGAGGAUGUUUCGGGAGCAGCCCCCAUCUAAGUGUCCUGGAACGGACCGUCAUAGAGGGUGAGAAUCCCGUAUGGGAUGGGGUGUCUGCGCCCAUGUGAAACUCCUUCGACGAGUCGAGUUGUUUGGGAAUGCAGCUCUAAAUGGGUGGUAAAUUUCAUCUAAAGCUAAAUAUUGGCCGGAGACCGAUAGCGCACAAGUAGAGUGAUCGAAAGAUGAAAAGCACUUUGAAAAGAGAGUUAAAAAGCACGUGAAAUUGUUGAAAGGGAAGCGCUUGCGAUCAGACUCGCCUUGGGGGUUCAGCCGGCAUUCGUGCCGGUGUACUUCCCCCAGGGCGGGCCAGCGUCGGUUUGGGUGGCCGGUCAAAGGCCCUUGGAAUGUAACGCCUCUCGGGGCGUCUUAUAGCCAAGGGUGCCAUGCGGCCUACCUGGACCGAGGAACGCGCUUCGGCUCGGACGCUGGCAUAAUGGUCGUAAGCGACCCGUCUUGA